ACGAACGCUGGCGGCAUGCCUAACACAUGCAGGUCGAACGAGGGCUUCGGCCCUAGUGGCGCACGGGUGAGUAACGCGUGGGAACCUGCCCUGUGGUACGGAAUAACUCCGGGAAACUGGAGCUAAUAUCGUAUGUGUCUUGAGGGACAAAGAUUUAUCGCCAUGGGAUGGGCCCGCGUAGGAUUAGCUUGUUGGUGGGGUAACGGCCUACCAAGGCAACGAUCCUUAGCUGGUCUGAGAGGAUGAUCAGCCACACUGGGACUGAGACACGGCCCAGACUCCUACGGGAGGCAGCAGUGGGGAAUAUUGGACAAUGGGCGCAAGCCUGAUCCAGCAAUGCCGCGUGAGUGAUGAAGGCCUUCGGGUUGUAAAGCUCUUUCGCACGCGACGAUGAUGACGGUAGCGUGAGAAGAAGCCCCGGCUAACUUCG
rnacentral:rRNA from 1 species